AAGUCGUAACAAGGUUUCCGUAGGUGAACCUGCGGAAGGAUCAUUAUUGAAAUAAACCUGAUGGGUUGUUGCUGGUUCUCUAGGGAGCAUGUGCACGCCUUGUCAUCUUUAUAUCUCCACCUGUGCACCUUUUGUAGACCUUCCAUGGUCUAUGUUGCUUCUUCAUUUACCCCAAUGUAUGUUAAUAGAAUGUUUGUGCCUAUGAAAAUCUAUACAACUUUCAGCAACGGAUCUCUUGGCUCUC
rnacentral:misc_RNA from 1 species